rnacentral:rRNA from 1 species
GCGAACGGGUGCGUAACACGUGAGGAACCUGUCCCGAAGACUGGGAUAACACCGGGAAACCGGUGCUAAUACCGGAUACCUUCACCGGACCGCAUGAUCUGGUGAAGAAAUGAAUUUCGCUUCGGGAGGGCCUCGCGGCCUAUCAGCUUGUUGGUGGGGUAACGGCCUACCAAGGCAUCGACGGGUAGCUGGUCUGAGAGGACGACCAGCCACACUGGGACUGAGACACGGCCCAGACUCCUACGGGAGGCAGCAGUAGGGAAUCUUGCGCAAUGGGCGAAAGCCUGACGCAGCAACGCCGCGUGGGGGAUGAAGGCUCUCGGGUUGUAAACCCCUUUCGACAGGGACGAAAUUGACGGUACCUGUGGAAGAAGCCCCGGCCAACUACGUGCCAGCAGCCGCGGUAAUACGUAGGGGGCGAGCGUUGUCCGGAUUUAUUGGGCGUAAAGAGCUCGUAGGCGGCUUGGCAAGUCGGGUGUGAAAACUCCAGGCUCAACCUGGAGACGCCACUCGAUACUGCCAUGGCUAGAGUCCGGUAGGGGACCACGGAAUUUCUGGUGUAGCGGUGAAAUGCGCAGAUAUCAGAAGGAACACCGGUGGCGAAGGCGGUGGUCUGGGCCGGAACUGACGCUGAGGAGCGAAAGCGUGGGGAGCGAACAGGAUUAGGUACCCUGGUAGUCCACGCCGUAAACGUUGGGCACUAGGUGUGGGGACCUAUCGACGGUUUCCGUGCCGUAGCUAACGCAUUAAGUGCCCCGCCUGGGGAGUACGGCCGCAAGGCUAAAACUCAAAGGAAUUGACGGGGGCCCGCAC